ACGGUCCUAAGGUAGCGAAAUUCCUUGUCGGGUAAGUUCCGACCUGCACGAAUGGCGUAACGACUUCCCCACUGUCUCGACCAGGAGCUCGGCGAAAUUGCAGUACGAGUAAAGAUGCUCGUUAAGCGCAGAAGGACGAAAAGACCCCGGGACCUUUACUAUACCUUGGUAUUGGCGUUAGGCGCGGAUUGUGUAGCAUAGGCGGGAGGCUUCGAAGCAUGGGCGCCAGCCCGUGUGGAGCCGCAAGGUGAAAUACCGCUCUGUUCUCGUUUGACGUCUAACCUCGAACAGUCAUCCUGUUCAGGGACAGUGCCUGGCGGGUAGUUUAACUGGGGCGGUUGCCUCCCAAAGAGUAACGGAGGCGCUCAAAGGUCCGCUCAGCCCGGUUGGCAAUCGGGUUUCGAGUGUAAUCGCACAAGCGGGCUUGACUGCGAGAACGACGGUUCGGGCAGGGACGAAAGUCGGAGAUAGUGAUCCGGUGCCGGCGCACGGGCGCGGCAUCGCUCAACGGAUAAAAGGUACCCCGGGGAUAACAGGCUGAUCAUUCCCAAGAGUCCAUAUCGACGGGAUGGUUUGGCACCUCGAUGUCGGCUCGUCGCAUCCUGGGGCUGGAGCAGGUCCCAAGGGUUCGGCUGUUCGCCGAUUAAAGCGGCACGCGAGCUGGGUUCAGAACGUCGUGAGACAGUUUGGUCUCUAUCCUCUGCGCUCGUUGGAAUCCUGAGGAGGCCUGCCCAUAGUACGAGAGGACCUGGGUGGACGGACCUCUGGUAUGCCGGUUGUCGCGCCAGCGGCAUGGCCGGUUGGCUACGUUCGGGAGGGAUAACCGCUGAAAGCAUCUAAGCGGGAAGCCUGCUCCAAGAUUAGGAUUCCUUGGCACUUCGGUGCCUGUAGCCCGCAUGUGGAACACGUGUUCGAUAGGCCGGAGGUGGAAGCCCCGCGAGGGGUGGAGCCGACCGGUACUAACGGGCGAACGCGGCACACU
rnacentral:rRNA from 1 species